rnacentral:rRNA from 1 species
GGGUGCCCGAGUGGCGAACGGGUGAGUAACACGUGAGUAACCUGCCCUUGACUUUGGGAUAACUUCAGGAAACUGGGGCUAAUACCGGAUAGGAGCUCCUGCUGCAUGGUGGGGGUUGGAAAGUUUCGGCGGUUGGGGAUGGACUCGCGGCUUAUCAGCUUGUUGGUGGGGUAGUGGCUUACCAAGGCUUUGACGGGUAGCCGGCCUGAGAGGGUGACCGGCCACAUUGGGACUGAGAUACGGCCCAG